ACGGCGACCACCGCGGCAGCUCCCCGGGGACUCCUCGCAGGAUAUAUAUGAUCACAUUUUAACUUAGUCUGCAACAUGUACUGAAUAAAAAGAAGAUAGUGCAAAGCAAUUCUCCAACACAGUAAAAGAGGCUGUGAAAAUUGGGGCAGGAAAAGGUUUAUUUCAUGUGGCUGGUCUCAGAACCUGGUUUUCAUAAUAUUUCGAAAAAAAUUUUAAAGAAUCCUGAAUUUUCUCUUUAGUGAUGCUACACAUACUUACUUUGGACAUCAGCAAUCUAACUGCCGGCUUUGCAAACUCAUUCUUCAAGAGGCAAGUCAUUCUUGGUAACAGCGUCCUCAGGAAUGAAGCUCCUGCAGUUGAGGUUCAGUGAACGCUGCGUCAGGGAUCUGCGCAGCACGUGUGGAACCCAAUGAGAGUCCUUGCUGUGCAGGCACCGGGAUGCUCACAUAGUAAAAACUCGAGUCCAUCGGGAAGCCCAGGAACUGAAAGGCAUAAAGAAACCGAGUGCUAGAACACGAAGAUGACAUUUAGACACAGAUGCUUUUCUGCAAGUCACCACACUUUAAUUUUAAGAAAGGAGACUAGCGAUCUAUUGAAUAAUUCAUUCCCUCAUGGCACUGGUUCAACACCCCAGGCUCCUCUGCUGAGAAGCCUCCUUAUGUAGCUGUACUGGACAAGUGCGGUAGAAAAGACAGAACCCAGUGGGGAUGACAGAAUUCUUUAAUUGUCUGCAAAAGAGGAAAUCCAGUUGGUGGAGAGAAAAAUUAUUUCCACAUUGGAAAAAAAAGUAAUGACAAAAAUAAAAAGGCUUUGUCAAAUAU
rnacentral:lncRNA from 1 species